rnacentral:rRNA from 1 species
AGAGUUUGAUCAUGGCUCAGGAUGAACGCUAGCGGCAGGCUUAACACAUGCAAGUCGAGGGGCAUCGCGGUUCCGGCAACGGGACCGGCGGCGACCGGCAUACGGGUGCGUAACGCGUGAGCGACAUUCCCGGGACCGGGGUAUAACCGACGGAAACGUCGCCUAAUCCCCCGUAACACCAUCGGGCGCAUGCCCUUUGGUUGAAAGCUCCGGCGGUCCCGGAUUGGCUCGCGUCCCAUUAGGCGGAUGGCGGGGUAACGGCCCACCAUACCUACGAUGGGUAGGGGUUCUGAGAGGAAGGUCCCCCACAAUGGAACUGAGACACGGUCCAUACUCCUACGGGAGGCAGCAGUGAGGAAUAUUGGUCAAUGGGCGGAAGCCUGAACCAGCCAUGCCGCGUGCGGGACGACGGCCCUACGGGUUGUAAACCGCUUUUGCAGGGGAGCAAUAAGGGGGUUUCGCACCCCCGACGAGCGUACCCUGCGAAUCAGCACCGGCUAACUCCGUGCCAGCAGCCGCGGUAAUACGGAGGGUGCGAGCGUUAUCCGGAUUUAUUGGGUUUAAAGGGUGCGUAGGCUGUGCGUCAAGUCAGGGGUGAAAUUCCGUCGCUCAACGUCGGGUGUGCCCUUGAUACUGGCGUGCUGGAGUACGGAUGCCGCCGGAGGAAUGAGUGGUGUAGCGGUGAAAUGCAUAGAUAUCACUCAGAACACCGAUUGCGAAGGCAUCUGGCGAAUCCGUCACUAACGCUGAUGCACGAAAGCGUGGGGAUAAAAACAGGGAUUAGAUACCCUGGUAUUCCACGCCGUAAACGAUGAUGACUAGCCGCCGGCGACAUGCUGU